GGCACACGGUGCUGCAGCCUCUCUUCGCAGCUUGGUGGCAGUGCGCCCGCUCUCCGUGAGCUGCGUGGAACUGGAGCUCGAGCUGCUCGUCACACAUGCACUCCAGCCUUGCCAUGCCGCAUGGAAGGCAUGUGGCAUCUUUUCUUGGUUAAGCAGGAUGAACUGUGAUUUUGGCUUUCAAAAUUUGCUAUCAGCAGGAACCUUCAUCUUGAAUGGAUUGUCACUUGGAAAUCAUCAACACAAGGAAGUGCAAUAUUUCCUGCCAAUAUUCCAAGAGUGGAGACAGUUGCAAGAAAAACACCAUCCUCUAAGGCCAAGCGAAGCCUCUCUCAAACCAACAAGAAAUUUAUUUCUCCACAUAACUUGAUGAAUGCUGCUGUUAAACUUAUACGGACUAGAAGCCAACGGGUAUGAAAUGCAAAUCUGAUUUCUAUUCAAUUUUUGCAAGUUUUCUAUUCAAACUUGACGAAUGCUGCUGCCAUUAACUUGUAUUUUACUCCUGAACAAGACAAAAUUAU